rnacentral:rRNA from 1 species
AAACUUAAAGGAAUUGACGGGGACCCGCACAAGCGGUGGAUGAUGUGGAUUAAUUCGAUGCAACGCGAAAAACCUUACCUACCCUUGACAUGUGAGGAACUUGUGAGAGAUCACUUGGUGCCCGAAAGGGAACCUCAACACAGGUGCUGCAUGGCUGUCGUCAGCUCGUGUCGUGAGAUGUUGGGUUAAGUCCCGCAACGAGCGCAACCCUUGUCAUUAGUUGCUACAUUUAGUUGAGCACUCUAAUGAGACUGCCGGUGACAAACCGGAGGAAGGUGGGGAUGACGUCAAGUCCUCAUGGCCCUUAUGGGUAGGGCUUCACACGUCAUACAAUGGCGCGUACAGAGGGUUGCCAACCCGCAAGGGGGAGCUAAUCUCAGAAAGCGCGUCGUAGUCCGGAUCGGAGUCUGCAACUCGACUCCGUGAAGUCGGAAUCGCUAGUAAUCGCGGAUCAGAAUGUCGCGGUGAAUACGUUCCCGGGUCUUGCACACACCGCCCGU